ensembl:snRNA U6 U6 spliceosomal RNA
GUGUAUACUUUAGCUGCACAGUUACUAAAAAUGGAACAAUACAAAGAUUACCCUGACUCCGUUAUAAGGAGGACACUUGCGGAGCAUUUUAUAUCCCAUAUUUUU